rnacentral:rRNA from 1 species
UUAUACUAAAUUUUAAAAAAAUUUUUAAUUUCACUGUAAAGGAAAAAUAAAUUACUUAAAAGAAUUAUUAUUUUCCUUUAGUAUCAGGAGUUUUCUACUCUCAAUUUUAAAUUAUAACCUUUCCUGAAAAAAGGUCAUCUAUAAAUUUAUUUUAAUAUUAUAGCAAAAAUACCGUUAAUAAAUUUAUUGAAGUUAAACUCUACCCGAACCUUUUGAUAUCCGGUAUCUUUAAAUUUUUAACAAACACUUAUAUUUAAAAAGAUAAUUUUUUAAAUAAAUUUUAAUCUAAUUGAACUUUAAUAAGGAAUAAAAGUGUCCCUAAAGUUUCAUAACUAGAAUUUACAUCUUUAUAAAUGGUUUAAUAAAGAUUACAUUUAUUUAUUAAAAUAAUGAAAAUAUUAGUAGAAUUAUCCUUAUUACUAAAUUAAUAACUAGGCAAAAAAUUGAAUGACUGUUUACCAAAAACAUUUCUUACUGAAAUAUUUGUAAGUAACACCUGCUCAUUGAUGAAUAAUUUAACAGCCGCGGAAAUUUAACCGUGCUAAGGUAGCAUAAUCAUUAGCCUCUUAAUUAGAGGCUAGUAUGAACGGUGAAACAUUUCAAUUACUUUUUUAUUUAAUAUUUUCAAACUUAAAUUAAGAAUAAAAAUGUUCUUAUAAAUUAAAAAGACGAUAAGACCCUUUUGAACUUUACUUUAGUUUAGCUGGGGCAGCUAAAUAAAAAUGAUCUUAUUUUUAUUAAUUAUAUAACUGACCCAAUAUAAUUGAUUAAAUGACCAAGUUACCAUAGGGAUAACAGCGUAAUAUCUUUUUAAAGCUCUUAUUGAAAAAGAAGAUUGCGACCUCGAUGUUGAAUUAGUGUAACUUUACUGAUGCAGUAGUUUUAAAAGUAGGUCUGUUCGACCUUUAAAACAUUACAUGAUUUGAGUUCAAAUCGGUGUAAACCAGAUUGGUUUCUAUCUUUUUUUCUUUUUUAUUUAGUACGAAAGGACCAAUAAAUUUAUUUUCAAUA